rnacentral:tRNA from 1 species
AGGAUUAUAGUUAACUAUAAUAUUUGAUUUGCAUUCAAAAGGUGCUGAACAGCUAUUCUUA